UAGGGAAUCUUCCACAAUGGGCGCAAGCCUGAUGGAGCAACACCGCGUGAGUGAAGAAGGGUUUCGGCUCGUAAAGCUCUGUUGUUGGAGAAGAACGUGCGUGAGAGUAACUGUUCACGCAGUGACGGUAUCCCAACCAGAAAGUCACGGCUAACUACGUGCC
rnacentral:rRNA from 1 species